UUUCCGUAGGUGAACCUGCGGAAGGAUCAUUAUUGGAUUUUGAAACUUCAGGCUGCUGCUGGCUCUCCUCGGAGGGCAUGUGCACGCUUGUUGUCCAUUAUUUCUCCCACUGUGCACAAAUUGUAGACCUUUCAGUAGGCCUAUGUUGUUUUUCACAAUCUCUGAAUGUAAUAGAAUGGUUUUGAAUCUUGGGAAAUACAAUACAACUUUCAGCAACGGAUCUCUUGACUCUCACAUCGAUGAAGAACGCAGC
rnacentral:misc_RNA from 1 species